GAGCGCGUAGCUCAGGGGGAGAGCGCUUGCUUGACGCGCAAGAGGUCGCAGGUUCAAAUCCUGCCGCGCUCA
rnacentral:tRNA from 1 species